rnacentral:rRNA from 3 species
AAUCCAUAGGUUAAUGAGGCGAACCGGGGGAACUGAAACAUCUAAGUACCCCGAGGAAAAGAAAUCAACCGAGAUUCCCCCAGUAGCGGCGAGCGAACGGGGAGGAGCCCAGAGCCUGAAUCAGCAUGUGUGUUAGUGGAAGCGUCUGGAAAGGCGCGCGAUACAGGGUGACAGCCCCGUACACAAAAGCGCAUGUGCUGUGAGCUCGAUGAGUAGGGCGGGACACGUGGUAUCCUGUCUGAAUAUGGGGGGACCAUCCUCCAAGGCUAAAUACUCCUGACUGACCGAUAGUGAACCAGUACCGUGAGGGAAAGGCGAAAAGAACCCCGGCGAGGGGAGUGAAAAAGAACCUGAAACCGUGUACGUACAAGCAGUGGGAGCACCCUUUGGGUGUGACUGCGUACCUUUUGUAUAAUGGGUCAGCGACUUAUAUUCUGUAGCAAGGUUAACCGAAUAG